GACGAACGCUGGCGGCGUGCUUAACACAUGCAAGUCGAACGGUGAAGCGCCUUCCUUUUUGGUGGGUGUGGAUGAGUGGCGAACGGGUGAGUAACACGUGAGUAACCUGCCCCCUUCUUCUGGAUAACCGCAUGAAAGUGUGGCUAAUACGGGAUAUUCUGGGUCUGUCGCAUGAUGGGUCUGGGAAAGAUAUUGUUUCGGUGGGGGAUGGGCUCGCGGCCUAUCAGCUUGUUGGUGGGGUGAUGGCCUACCAAGGCGGUGACGGGUAGCCGGCCUGAGAGGGUGGACGGUCACACUGGGACUGAGACACGGCCCAGACUCCUACUGGAGGCAGCAGUGUGGAAUAUUGCACAAUGGGCGCAAGCCUGAUGCAGCGACGCCGCGUGAGGGAUGGAGGCCUUCGGGUUGUGAACCUCUUUCGCCAGUGAAGCAGGCCUGCCUCGUUUGUGGGUGGGUUGACGGUAGCUGGAUAAGAAGCGCCGGCUAACUACGUG
rnacentral:rRNA from 1 species